rnacentral:lncRNA from 1 species
AUAUAUAUAUAUGUAAUUAUGCUACUAUAUUAUCAAUAGUACCAAGCCCUUGGUACUAUUAAGUUUUCGGCCGUUGGAUGAAAGGAUGUACUGUUAGGAUGAUAGUGGUCCUAUAUAUAUUGUAGAACUACUAUACUAUUGGAAGUAUAAAGGAUUUGAUGCUUCUGAUUUUUUGGUUCUUAGAUCAGCUCUGUUAAAUAUUUCUAACCUUUGAAUUAAUAUUAUUAACCUGUGAGAACCACUCAACCGUAGAGGUACUACUCAACUUUAGGGAGGACUGCAAUCAUCUCAACCGUAUAAUUCUUGAUCCAACGGUCAAAAAAUCGAAAGCAUCAAAAUUCUCUAUAUUUCCAAUAGCAUAGUAGGUUUGCUAUAUAUAUAGCUCAUUAAAAAAUAAUUAUUUAGGUAGUUUAUGCAAUAACUAAU